AGAAAUUAAAGAAAGGAAAGGUGGUGAAAAGUGAAGAGAUCUCUCUCUCUCUCUUUUUUUUAGGCAUAUAAGAACACAUUAUAUAACUUCUACAGCACUCCGUUCUUUUUUAAGUCAAGUGGGAGAUAAGGAGUAAAGUGUACCUAAAAGAAGUGAUGUCCCAGAAGCAAUGAGCACACCUAGCACAGAGAUCUUGGUGUCUGAUGCUAUUCUCCAAUAAAAGGAAACAUGGAUCCUCAGAGAACUGACUGCUUCUUCACCUGGGGCAAAAAAGGAAACAUCAGGAGCCACCAGAACCUGGAAGAAGGAAGAAAGGAUUUUCCCCUAAAGCCUUUGCA